rnacentral:rRNA from 1 species
CAUGCAAGUCGAACGGUGUAGUAAUACAUAGUGGCGGACGGGUGAGUAACGCGUGAGAAUCUGCCUUCUGGUCGGGGACAACCAUUGGAAACGAUGGCUAAUACCGGAUGAGCCUACGGGUAAAAGAUUUAUUGCCAGAAGAGGAGCUCGCGUCUGAUUAGCUAGUUGGUGGGGUAAAAGCUCACCAAGGCAUCGAUCAGUAGCUGGUCUGAGAGGAUGACCAGCCACACUGGGACUGAGACACGGCCCAGACUCCUACGGGAGGCAGCAGUGGGGAAUUUUCCGCAAUGGGCGAAAGCCUGACGGAGCAAGACCGCGUGAGGGAGGAAGGCUCUUGGGUUGUAAACCUCUUUUCUUGGGGAAGAAAAAAAUGACGGUACCCAAGGAAUCAGCAUCGGCUAACUCCGUGCCAGCAGCCGCGGUAAUACGGAGGAUGCAAGCGUUAUCCGGAAUUAUUGGGCGUAAAGCGUCCGCAGGUGGCACUUCAAGUCUGCUGUCAAAGGUCGGGGCUUAACCCCGGAAAGGCAGUGGAAACUGAAGCGCUAGAGUGUCGUAGGGGUAGAGGGAAUUCCCGGUGUAGCGGUGAAAUGCGUAGAGAUCGGGAAGAACAUCGGUGGCGAAAGCGCUCUACUGGACGACAACUGACACUCAGGGACGAAAGCUAGGGGAGCGAAUGGGAUUAGAUACCCCAGUAGUCCUAGCCGUAAACGAUGGAUACUAGGUGUGGCUUGUAUCGACCCGAGCCGUGCCGUAGCUAACGCGUUAAGUAUCCCGCCUGGGGAGUACGCGCGCAAGCGUGAAACUCAAAGGAAUUGACGG